rnacentral:lncRNA from 1 species
GGGUGAUGGUGAGGUGAUGGUGAGGUGAUAGUGAGGUGAUGCUGAGUGAUAGUGGAUGAUUGUGAGGUGAUGGUGGAGGUGAUUGUGAGGUGAUGGUGAGGUGAUGGUGGGGUGAUGGUGAGGUGAUAGUGGGGUGAUGAUGAGUGAUAGUGAAGUGAUGGUGAAUGAUGGUGAGGUGAUGGUGAGGUGAUGGUGAGGUGAUGGUGAGUGAUGGUGAGGUGAUGGUGAGUGAUGGUGAGGUUAUGGUGAGGCAAUAAUGAGGUGAUGGUGAGGUGAUGGUGAGGUGAUGGUGAGUGAUGGUGAGGUGAUGGUGAGUGAUGGUGAGGUUAUGGUGAGGCAAUAAUGAGGUGAUGGUGAGUGAUGGUGAGGUGAUAGUGAGGUGAUGAUGAGUGAUGGUGGAUGAUGGUGUGAUGGUGGGGGUGAUUGUGAGGUGAUGGUGAGGUGAUGGUGGGGUGAUGGUGAGGUGAGAAUGGGGUGAUGAUGAGUGAUAGUGAGGUGAUGGUGAGUGAUGGUGAGGUGAUGGUGGGGUGAUUGUGAGGUGAUGGUAAGGUGAUGGUGGGAUUAGAUUGAUGGCGGUGGUUCUUGGUGAGUCUAGAGUCCUGACUUCUGAAGAAGAGUCAGCACAGAAGGCCAAGCGGAGAGGAUAUGGGAAUGGGAAGCAGUGAGCUGGGGGCUUGGUUUGCGUGGGCUGCUAUGAGGACACCCAGUUCCCACCAAGAUCCAUCUGGGAUCUUUUAAGAACAGAAGAUGGAGAAGAGACCCAGGGGAAGGCAGUGGUCUGAGCGAAUCCUGCAGGGAGAGGAGAGGUUCGGGGUUCUGUUUAUACAGACCUGGGCUGGGAUGCUGCUCAGUGGUGCAGGACAAGAAUGGCAUUCAAAGCUGGAGUUCCAGUCUCCUUAUUAAUAUUUCCCCUAAGACCUAAAUCCCUCUAGGAGAUCCCUGUGUUCUGGGAUGUUCUUUUCAUAACCAUGGGGAGUAGACUCCUUCCAAUAAGGAAGCAGAAACCCCACAAGAGUAAUCUGUUGCUAGGCAUUUCUCCCUAAAGUAUGGCAAGCCCAUCGUGAUGAGCUGAGCUGCAGCUGACUCCUCAGAACACACUUGGCCCCGCUCAGAUCCACACACUUUAGAAACCCAGUCUCUGUGAACAGCUCUGACCGGUGGGUCACAGUGGGGUCCUGAAGCACUGCUUUGACCUAAGGACCACAUUACCAGGGUACACCGGAGAUGACCAACGGUCCCCAGUACAGAAC